rnacentral:rRNA from 1 species
UGCUCCCAGGCGUCGAGCGGCGGACGGGUGAGUAAUGCUUAGGAAUCUGCCCAGUAGUGGGGGACAGCAGUCGGAAACGGCUGCUAAUACCGCAUACGCCCUUUGGGGGAAAGCAGGGGAUCUUCGGACCUUGCGCUAUUGGAUGAGCCUAAGUCGGAUUAGCUAGUUGGUGGGGUAAUGGCUCACCAAGGCGACGAUCCGUAGCUGGUCUGAGAGGAUGAUCAGCCACAUCGGGACUGAGACACGGCCCGAACUCCUACGGGAGGCAGCAGUGGGGAAUAUUGGACAAUGGGGGCAACCCUGAUCCAGCCAUGCCGCGUGUGUGAAGAAGGCUUUCGGGUUGUAAAGCACUUUCAGUGAGGAGGAAGGCUUUCAGACUAAUACUCUGGAGGAUUGACGUCACU